rnacentral:rRNA from 1 species
AUUGAACGCUGGCGGCAGGCCUAACACAUGCAAGUCGAGCGAGCGGCGGACGGGUGCGUAAUGUCUGGGAAACUGCCUGAUGGAGGGGGAUAACUACUGGAAACGGUAGCUAAUACCGCAUACCAUCAGAUGUGCCCAGAUGGGAUUAGCUAGUAGGUGGGGUAAUGGCUCACCUAGGCGAAGAGCCCUAGCUGGUCUGAGAGGAUGACCAGCCACACUGGGACCGAGACACGGUCCAGACUCCUACGGGAGGCAGCAGUGGGGAAUAUUUGCCAAGGGGCGCAAGCCUGAAUCAGCCAUGCCGCGUGGGUGAAGAAGGGCUUCGGGGUGGAAAGCACUUUCAGCGGGGAGGCGUUACCCGCAGAAGAAGCACCGGCUAACUCCGUGCCAGCCGCCGCGGUAAUAC